rnacentral:rRNA from 1 species
CCUACGGGCGGCAGCAGUGAGGAAUAUUGGUCAAUGGACGCAAGUCGGAACCAGCCAAGCCGCGUGAAGGAAGACGGCUCUAUGAGUUGUAAACUGCUUUUGUAGGAGGGUAAACGCCGAUACGUGUAUCAGUCUGAGAGUAUCGUAAGAAUAAGGAUCGGCUAACUCCGUGCCAGCAGCCGCGGUAAUACGGAGGAUUCAAGCGUUAUCCGGAUUUAUUGGGUUUAAAGGGUGCGUAGGCGGUCGGAUAAGUUAGGGGUUAAAUCUCGAGGCUCAACUUCGGUAUUGCCUAUGAUACUGGUCGUGUAGAGAGUAUUUGCGGUAGGCGGAAUGUAUGGUGUAGCGGUGAAAUGCUUAGAGAUCAUGCAGAACACCGAUUGCGAAGGCAGCUUACCAAGCUACUUCUGACGUUGAGGCACGAAAGUGUGGGGAGCAAACAGGAUUAGAUACCCCAGUAGUC